UCGUGUCCUCGUGCUCCCGUGCCUCUUCUGAAGCUGCUCAGCCGGGGUGCUGGGCGCUGUGUGUCUGGCAAACCCUGAUUAGUUUUUUUUUCUAUUGCAUGACAAAAGUCACUCCCAUCCACCUCACAGCGUCUGCUCGCAACAUCAGCCAUCCUCCUCCUGGGCAGGGUUUGGGGUAGUAGUGCUGCACCACGCUGGGGUGGCUUCUCAGGCACAGGGUUUGAAUUCAGGGUGCCCAGGGGCAUCCUUGAGGGUCCUCUCUGACACAGGACACCUUGUGAUUCUCAAGGGCAGUGCCGCUGCAGGCACCUGAACCACCCCUCCUAGCAGUCAGGUGUCUGUAUGUGUUCCCCAGGGUUUGUUUUGAAAUUCAUCUAGAAUACUAGAAGCAUUUGUGUUUCCUCCCAGCCCCUGAAUUUGACAAGCAGCUUUCAAAGCGCACACUUCGGCACCAGUUACGGAAGGAAAGGUGUGAAUGACUGGAGGAGAAAACACAGGCCCACUUGCUCCUUGGUGAGGCUCACUGGCAGCUUUAGGAUUUGCCACUGGCACGUUACUGACAGAACAUGAUAUGCUCUUCCCAGCGUGGUGCACGACAGGUUCCACCUGCUCCCUCUGCAAAGCAUUAAAAUAGAAGAAUAAUGUCUCUGAGGUGCACAGAGAGUCAACCCAGAGGCCCAACUUUCAGCAUCCCCCCCCUGUAAGGCACACCUUUACCUCUCCCCAGAAUCUUACAGCAUCCAUUCUCAGUGAGAGCACUAAAGCUUUGAGCUCGUGGAUACUCUGGUUACCAGGCUAAGUAUCACCUUACAAAUCUGGUUAUCAGCUACUGAAAAAAAAAAACUGCUUCACUGAAGGGGCAAUCUUAGCCCUAGUGUAUUUUCUCAUUGUCCAGGAGCGCUCAUUGGAGCAGCCCCAGCUGCAAGGGUUUUGUAUUUAGAAAGGGCUCCUGGGCUAGGGCAGGCGGUGAAGGCAUUGCUGUGGGAGUGGUGGGGAAUUGGGCUCGAGGGACAGCCAGGUCCCAACGACACCUCCCACUCUCCUUUUCAAGUCCACCUUCUUUUGCUCUAGAGGCAAAAUGAGACAUGGGAAGCGCUCAGCAUGCAACACACAUCAGCCACGCCUGAGCAGGCACAGCUUCCUCUUACCAAAGGCCACCUUAAGGACCUGCUCCGUAAUCUGCCAAGCCCCGAGUUAUAGUAAUGAGCAUCCAGACACUGGUUUUGCACUGUUUAUUGAAGACUUCAGGUGACAGCACAGUAGGUUAGUUUUGAAUCAUGCAAAAGAACGUUAAAAACAGAAAUUCAGUGAUACGUUUCCCCCACUUACUGGAGGGAAGCACACCAAAAAAAAAAAAAAAAGGAAACACAAACAAACUUCAUUCAAUCCCUUGCCUUUGCUUACUGGAGCCAAACAGGAUGGUCUUGGAGGUAGAGGGAAGUCACAAGUUUUCAUACCAAGUGCUGCCUGAUGGGAAGCAGGACCAACCUCAUCAGAGAGACCUGCAGAGCCAUUUCUGCCAGCGGGAUCCCCAGCAGCGAGGCACUGAGCUACACAACAAUUGUACAAGCAGCUUUGGUAAAUUCAGGCAGCUUUCUGGUGUGCAGAAGCAACCUUGACUCACUCGCUCUGCACGAGACAUGCAGAGCACCAGAUUUUCCUCCUCUGGGACCCGGCAGGAGAAACGUCAAAGGAGUACAGGCAGGGGAGAUGGGGACGGGCAGCACUUCUGUGUGGGAGACUCGGUCUGCAAGAAGGAUGUUGUGCUGCCUUUCUGUACGGUUAAGUGCUUACUGACAGCAUUGCUGCAACAGCCCAGGGUUACAUGCAAGCAACGCAAACGCAACAGAGACUACCCAGGCCCUUCUGGAAACCUCAGAGGGCAAUGUCUGCUCGCAAUUAGUUUAAGCAGGAGAUGAAGCCAUGCCAUAACCUAGCAGGACGCUUUCCAACCACCCGGCUUCUUUAUGGGUUCAAAAUCGAAAGAGAGAACUUUGCUCGAGCAGCAAUUUGCCUCGUCACUUCCUCCACUCCCAGCGACAGCUGUGCUCCCCGCUGAGCAGCCCCUGUGCUGUGCUCCUCAGCUGUGUGACACCACGGUGACAGAGGGACAGGCAGCCCCGUGGGUGGGAGCAGGAAAGAGCGAGCAAAGGUGCGGGGUGCGAUGGGAAGCAAACGGCAAAGAAGGAAAGCAAAGCUCGGUGCUGCUUCUCAUUUAACAGAUUACAGAGUCUCUCUUUAAAGGUGACUCAUCCAGGGCAAUACCAGGCAUGGUUUCUUCUAUUAACACACCCUUGGCAAUAGCAGUUCAGUUAGUCACUGGGUAUCAAGACGUCACCGGCCGGGAUAAAGCAUCCCUUUAACUCGGUACGGCGUCCGUAAGCAUUUAUUGACUUCGGAGACAAACUGGGCCACAAAGGGGGGAUCCAUCCCUCCUCGGCCCUCUGCCGCCCGCGCCAUGCGGCUCUGCCCUACCGGCAUCCCACCUCUCGCUCACGGGGCGAUGGCAAGGCAGCAGACGGGCGGACGGACGGACGGACGGACAGACGGACGGGUGGGAGUUCCUCGGCGUGUCGCUGCACCUCGUGUCCCGCUCGGGGCGAGAGGCGUCAUGCGGACGAGGCGACGUGAGGCGGCCGCACAGCGAUGUCCG
ensembl:lncRNA